UAAUCCGUGCUUAUCCAUAACAAGGAACAGGUUCACAGAGACUCAGGAGUGCCACUUGGUCCUGACCUGGUACCGAAGCUGGAGCUCUCGCCACUCAGGUUUCGCUCUUCCUAAUGCUCUUUCUGGGGAAUGGUGCCAGGUGUGUUUUCUGAAACACCUGGCCAUUUCUUGGGGGCAGUGAAGUCACAAGACAGAGAGGAAUCAAGGCUUCAGUCACCUGCAGAAUGUCACUGUCUGGAAGCAGGAGCCAGGUUCCUGUAUGUCCCUGUGCUCCAGUAAAAGAAUCCAAACAGAAAUCUGGGAUGCGGAAGUAGCUGGAAAUGGCCGCCAGGGGGCGCGCAACAAGCCCGCAAGCAUCUUCCUUGCUGGAUCUGGACCAAGCUGCAGACAUGGGAAAGCACCGCACGUUGCCUUUCUGAGCCUGUGAAAGAGGCUAUUUGUAUCAGGCCGCUGGCAUCUCCCAUUAGCGUGGCCUGCCAGGCGCGACCCAGGCAACAGAAGGCACAACUAGACAGCUAGAUCUGACACGCCCCUCAAGGCUCCCGGACCACUCAGGAGCCAGACAGAAUGUCUGUAGCUACCUAUAGAGGACAAGCAGAAAGGAGUGACAGGUAGGCCCUGACCUCAGACCCCCGUGAAACCAUCUUGGCACCAUCGUCGAGGAUCCUAGGAUAACCAUCCAGGUAACAGAUUUUCGAUCAACCUUGGCCUGCAGAUCACCAGUCCUGUGAAACCAGUGAGCCCUGGACUUAGCGAAAACUGAUACAAACCAGAUACUUCUGCAAUACUCCAGGCUGCCCCAAAGCAGCCUGCACUUCCCAAGGUGGUCAGUGAGCCAGGUGUCCCCAGCAUGUUGCCGGAUCAGCCUUCCUGAGCCCACCCUCACCCGCAGCAACAACACCCUAAUUUCAACCAAGAAGCAGCUACAGAAGAGAUUACAUUACCCUUAUCAUUAACAGAUGGCUAGAGUGUCAGGUCCGAAGAAAACUCCAUUUCCCCAAACUCUUGUCAGUUAAAAGCCAGCGUUCCUCAGCAAUUUAUGAAGAGACUGUUUCCCUCUCCCAAAGGAGCCAUUUCUCUUACUGCUGGCAGAAGGGACGAAUGGCUGUCUGCGGUGCCUACUGGCAUCUAAAGUACAUGCUGGUCUUCAAGUUCCUCCAGGAUCAUAACUCCCUGUUGAAAAGCAGAAUUAUUGACACGUAUGGCAGCACACACCUUUAAUCAAACCAGCACACUGGAGGCG